rnacentral:lncRNA from 1 species
UCCUUCCGCAAGCCAUCAUGAUGUCCACUUGUUAGUCCUGAAGGGCAAGUGAGUGACACAGCAGGAAUUCAGAACUAAAUUGCAGGAGCAGAGCCUGGACACCAGCCAGUGAAGAGACACAUCCCCAGUUUAUGUGAAUCACAGGUAGGUCUCUGUGCCUCCACUACCUUCUUCUGACUCCUGCAAGGGCCUAGAAAUGUAUAAACGCUGCUCAGGACAAA